UAGGGAAUCUUCGGCAAUGGACGAAAGUCUGACCGAGCAACGCCGCGUGCGUGAAGAAGGUUUUCGGAUCGUAAAACUCUGUUGUUAGAGAAGAACAAGGACGUUAGUAACUGAACGUCCCCUGACGGUAUCUAACCAGAAAGCCACGGCUAACUACGUGCCAGCAGCCGCGGUAAUACGUAGGUGGCAAGCGUUGUCCGGAUUUAUUGGGCGUAAAGCGAGCGCAGGCGGUUUCUUAAGUCUGAUGUGAAAGCCCCCGGCUCAACCGGGGAGGGUCAUUGGAAACGGGGAGACUUGAGGGCAGAAGAGGAGAGUGGAAUUGCAUGUGUAGAGGUGAAAUGCGUAGAUAUAUGGAGGAACACCAGUGGCGAAGGCGGCUCUCUGGUCUGUAACUGACGCUGAGGCUCGAAAGCGUGGGGAGCAAACAGG
rnacentral:rRNA from 1 species